rnacentral:rRNA from 1 species
AACGUAGGAUCCGAGCGUUAUCCGAAUUUACUGGGCGUAAAGCGCGUGUAGGCGGUCCGGUAAGUUGGAUGUGAAAUCUCCCGGCUCAACUGGGAGAGGACGUUCAAUACUGCCGGGCUAGAGGACGGUAGAGGGAGGUGGAAUUCCCGGUGUAGUGGUGAAAUGCGUAGAUAUCGGGAGGAACACCAGUGGCGAAGGCGGCCUCCUGGGCCGUACCUGACGCUCAGACGCGAAAGCUAGGGGAGCGAACGGGAUUAGAUACCCCCGUAGUCC